rnacentral:rRNA from 1 species
UACGUAGGGGGCAAGCGUUGUCCGGAAUCAUUGGGCGUAAAGUGCGUGUAGGCGGCUCGGUAAGUCUGCUGUGAAAGUCCAGGGCUCAACCCUGGGAUGCCGGUGGAUACUGUCGAGCUCGAGUCCGGAAGAGGCGAGUGGAAUUCCUGGUGUAGCGGUGAAAUGCGCAGAUAUCAGGAGGAACACCGAUGGCGAAGGCAGCUCGCUGGGACGUGACUGACGCUGAGACGCGAAAGCGUGGGGAGCAAACAGG